UUUUAUAUACUUGAACUUGUCUAUAACACUUUCGAGCACUACCGAAGAUAUUAAUUAUACUCAUAAAAGGCGCUCGCCUAUUUAGAAAGCCGUGGUGGUGUGUCCGUAGGAGUCCUCGUUUCUACGGGGAACCUCCUGUUAAUUGAAUCGCUCAUUGCGGCUUUAUAUAAUGUUUCACUCGUAUGCUUCAGUUCCUCGCAAGCAAUUUUCAUUGCAGAGAAUUGGUUUUUUAGAAGAUUCUCUCUUUGUUUUUCUUGUCGAUAUUCGUGUAUACGCCAAGCGCGAUUAAUAACUUCGUGUUUUUCCCACAUGUCUGGAUUCAUUUUCAAAGACCUGACUUUUUUAUUUCCGUAAAGAGCUUUUCUAACCAAAUCGAUUGACUCACUAUGAUUAGAAGGACCAGAUUGGUGCUUUCCCUUUGAGGCCUUAGCCAUUAAUUGUAACGUAGAACGCAUCUGCCAAAAAACUUUUCAACACAAACUAAAGUACUCCUU